rnacentral:rRNA from 1 species
AUUGAACGCUGGCGGCAGGCCUAACACAUGCAAGUCGAGCGAGCGGCGGACGGGAGGGUAAUGUAUGGGGACUGCCCGCUAGAGGGGGAUAACUACUGGACACGGUAGCUAAUACCGCAUACUAUCGGAUAACCCAUAUGGGAUUAGCUAGUAGGUGAGGUAAUGGCUCACCUGGGCGACGAUCCGUAGCUGGUCUGAGAGGAUGAGCAGCCGCACGGGGACGGAGACACGGCCCAUACUCCUACGGAGGCAGCAGUGGGGAAUAUUGCACAAUAGUCGCGAGCCUGAUGCAGCCAUGCCGCGUGUAUUAAGAAGGCCCUAGGGUUGUAAAGUACUUUCAGUCGGGAGGCGUUACCGACAGAAGAAGCACCGGCUAACUCCGUGCCAGCAGCCGCGGUAAUUC